rnacentral:tRNA from 1 species
GCCCUAGUAGCUCAGCGUUUAGAGCGUCG